AAAGAUUGGUGGUAUGUGUUAUUGCCCGCAAAAGCCUGCUGAAAUGCUGAUGGCAUGUAAGUAUAACUCUGAGGCAAGAACGGAUAGCCAAUCAUAUUAGCAAAAUGUCCCAGGGGAAGGGUAGGCUGGGAAUAGGGAUGCAGAGCAAGGUGUUGUUGGGGGACUGCAGGUCCAGUGGCAACAUUGGCACCAGGUAGAGCUUGUGGAUUAGGUUGAGGCGUUGAAAUGUUAUUAGCCCUCAGAGCCUACAAGUUGACAAAUAAUAUUAAUGACAACAAAUACUGUGCUCUCCCUCGUAAUAACAAAAAUUAUGAAAUCAAUAUACAAGUAAGGAUACAAAUGAUAAACUCCAAAUGCAACUGUUGGCAAUGUCAAUAUAAAAUGCCCCAUGACCUGGGAUUAUUUUAGAUUAAAUAUGAUAAAUCCCAUGUUUGCGAAUGUAAGGCACAGAUACAUGUAGGAAAUCCAUAUUCGAUAUAAAAUACUAAUACAAUUACACCCCAUAUUUGUAGUCCCAGAUUAUACUCUGUUUUCUAAUAUCCAGCAACCACAAAGUACUAGCCAACCUCGAGUAUUACACUUCACACGGACUGGGAAAUGGAAAAGAUCGUCAACUUGGAUUGGAAUAGGAUAAGCAACACGUUGAAAUAUAUAUAUAUAUAUAUAUAUAUAUAUAUAAACAUAUUUUAUUUAAUAUAUAAUGUCUCACCAGGAUCUUCAUUUUUUAAAGUAAUAGUAUUUCAGUGCCUUUGCACAAUAUAUUCACAUAACAAUAUGACGUCAAUAAAUUAUCCACUCCCAUUUUUAUUGGAAUAUCAAACUGAUUAGUAACACGAUAAAUGGACAUAGAAUCACUCAAGAUUUAUCACUGGCAGAUUGCAGAGCAGAGUGCAGAAAUACUCAAGAUUAAAUCAAACACAAUGCAGACACAGGAUACCAUCCAUGCAGGAACGUAGGCAUAAAAAUGCAAAAUGCCUCUUCUCACCUAAUAUAUCAUUUUAAGUUGCGAAUUAACUAAUUAAAUGCAAACUAUGUAGGUAGUAAACAGUCAUUAGACAAAUAUUGGCUCAAGUGAAGACUCUAUUAACCAUCAACACUCAUUGAAGUAGCUCGCUCAAGCGAACACUUGCUAGUGCUGUUAUGUACCAGAAUAUAACUGCAAUCCACUCGUACAAUGAACAUGCAAACACUAGUACACAUUCUCUUUGACUAAGAAUAAUCAACCUGUAACAUAUGCUAAAGAAAAAUUAAGAUAAGCAGGAGCAGAAGUUCACCUCGGACAUGGUGAUAGUGGGACCACCAAUUGAAGAAGCAAUGCUGCUAUAUUUAGCAGGCAUUGAUUGUGUUGCAGGGAAGGGUGAGUAUGGGAUAUCCUCCCUUGCUGUUUGAACAGUUGAAGCCAACAGAGCACUGGGCAAAGAAUUGGUAUAAGCCUGCAAUGAAACAGCACUGUAAGUUUGGCCCAAGUAGCAACAUAGCUAGAUAAUAUUGAAACGAAAUAAAAAAAAAAAAAAAAAAAACUGCAGGGAUACAAGUUAUUACUACAUAUGACAGUAAAGCAAUAAAUGGCCCUGCACAAUAUUUUAAGUCACUUACUCGGCAUAAAUAUGUGUGAUAGACAAAUCAUAAACCAUGCCAGUAAAACGGAUGACAUAUCAAAUGGGGGAAUUUCUAUCCACAAUUCCAUCACAAAAAUUGAUUAAAAUUGCCCAUCCAAAGUUCACUUUUUACAGUGCACUUUUUACUUUGAAAUAGAGGUGAUACUUUGCCAUUGUCCCUGUUGUCUUUCAUGUUACCAUAGCAGCAAUUGUUUAGCUGAGAAGUUUUAUGCUCACUUUCUCUGGUGAGAUGCAAAUUUUGUGUCCUGGUCACAGCAGAAGCCGAAGAGGCUAGCUAUAAGCAAUGGCCACUUUCCAGGAAGUGGAUGUCAGACAGUUGCACGCUCCAUGCUUUCUAUGCAGGAGUCAGGUUAUUUAUUGUCUCAUAAAGCAUGGCAAUUUUGAUGCCGCCAAGACAAUGCAAGUUUGAAACGGUCCACAUUAUCACUGCCUACAAAAGCUUUGAACUCUGAUUUUGUAGGAACACUAUGUAUAAAGUGCAGAGGUCGUUUAACCAAUUUUCUGAAAGUAGAGCAUGAGAUGGUUCAGAUGCAAUCUAUGCCCCCUAUGCAAGGCGGUCCUGUCUCAUAAAGCAUGGCAAUUUUGAGCUCUCCUAGACAAUCCAUGUUAUGGUCCUCGUGAUCACUGUCUAUGAAAGCUUCCAGUUAGUAACACCUAUGUAAACUGUAGAAGUUGUAUAAAUAUUUUUUUGCAAAUACUUUAUUCGACACUGUUGCCUUUAAGGAACAAUAUCCAGGUUGCAGUUCAAGAAGAGGCACAAACGUCAAAUCUUCAGUCAAUAGCUUAGAAAGAUGGAUUUGUACCAGAAGUCAGUUUGCUUAUCUCAGAGCCUUAGAGACAAGACUGUUCAUUUAGUUGCAGGUAGGAUUAUAAUGACGAAUUUGGGCCUAUGCUCCCCAACGGCAACUUAUUAGGAGUUAAAGAUCUGCUGAUGUGGCAGUUAGUUAGGGUAUGUGAGUCAUUAUACGGAGAGGGGGCAUGCAUGUAAUCAUCAUCCAGUACUUUUGUGGUAGUCCUUAGGGACUGGGCAGAGAGAGUUAGUCUUCUCUCAGGUGCAUUUGCUCUGAGAUUACAGGGAUGUUUACAGUGUUAUUUCUUGUUUUUCCAAUCAAGAAUAUUGUUGAGGUUCUACUGAAUCUAGUUCCAACAAUAUCAAAAUCAUUUCAGAACUAAAUCUAUAUAACUAACAGAAUCAGACACGAAAAUGUUGUAUAUUGCAAUUCAAAAGAUUUAAGAAUUCUAUGCAUUACCAUUACACUAGAGAAGGGAGACAGGUUCUGUAUCUGUGAGUUUGUCUGUGAAUGAGGGAACGUAACAUCUGGUUGUUGGGCAUUUUCGUAUGCAAACUCGUGCUGAGAAGAAGGAAAUGAGUAUUGAUUUUCCUGAGCAGUUUCAGGGGGUUCAGAUUUUAAAGCC
rnacentral:lncRNA from 1 species